AACGAACGCUGGCGGCAGGCUUAACACAUGCAAGUCGAGCGCCCCGCAAGGGGAGCGGCAGACGGGUGAGUAACGCGUGGGAACGUACCUUUUGGUUCGGAACAACUCCGGGAAACUGGAGCUAAUACCGGAUAAGCCCUAACGGGGAAAGAUUUAUCGCCGAAAGAUCGGCCCGCGUCUGAUUAGCUAGUUGGUGAGGUAACGGCUCACCAAGGCGACGAUCAGUAGCUGGUCUGAGAGGAUGAUCAGCCACACUGGGACUGAGACACGGCCCAGACUCCUACGGGAGGCAGCAGUGGGGAAUAUUGGACAAUGGGCGCAAGCCUGAUCCAGCCAUGCCGCGUGAGUGAUGAAGGCCUUAGGGUUGUAAAGCUCUUUUGUCCGGGAAGAUAAUGACUGUACCGGAAGAAUAAGCCCCGGCUAACUUCGUGC
rnacentral:rRNA from 1 species